AUUCGAUAUAAUUUUUCAAUUUAUUAUUUUGUUUAUUUCAAGAUCCCCACGGAACGGCAUACCCCCAUCCUCUGCUCUUUCUCUUAGUCAAUCCAAUGAUUAAAUGGACAACACGUCAGAAGGCAUGAUUUAGGAAAAUUAACAAGGACCACAGAAGAACAAGGCAACUGAAAUCUAGCAUCAUCGAGACACACCUUUCGCAAACUCUGGAACAUCAUGAAACCGCUAAACACAUGUUUUCAUUUCCUUUCCAUGUGUUGAGCAAAAGUUAAGUAUGAGGCAAUACAUCUCUAAGUACAAAUGUUACAAAAUAUUUUUGGGAGCUCUACAAGUAAAUAUUGUACCACCCUUUCAUAAUGCAAAAAACCAAAAACACCAUGCCCAACUGCUGCUUCUCCAAAAGGCAGGUCAAAGAUUCCAGCUGUUUCCUCUCCCCAUAAUAUGUACAAAAAGGUGACUCUGACACGAAGACAACUAUUUGCAGCAUCAAUCUUAAACAACUUGUGAGGAAAUAUUUGCAGUCAAAAGUGUUCCACGAAACCCUUCCUCGGCAUGCUGUGCAGUCAUCUUUUGAUCAGCAAGCUCAUCAGCAAUAUCUCUAUGCUCAUGGAUUUCAGAAUCUUGCACCCAAAGCUUAUCUCCAGGGAAUAUAUUCAAGUCUGCAAGAGUAGCAGAUUCCUGAUCAAGUAUCCUAGAACCUUUGUGUAGUAUCUGGUUCUCCUUCACUACCCCAAGUGAUUCCCAUAUCAUCAUUUUUAGCUGGUAUACUGAAGUAGAACCAGAAACCUUUAAAUUAACUGAAUUCCCGUAACUGGUCUUACGAGAGCGCUUGGAGGCUCGUCGAUCAGGCUCAGAAGCAGUCUCAGAUGCUUCUAGAAUUGAUCUUGGGGCUUCCUUACCACGUACAAGAGAUACAUAUAUGUCCCCAUUGGAGUAGUUAAGUUUCUGCAUCAACUUACAACUUUCUCGUUCACCUAUGCAGUCCUCACAGAUCUCAGGACAAGUCCUGAUUAUAGGCUGUCUGGUCUCAGUCUCAUUAUUUACUUCAUCUUGAGGAUUCAGAUGCUCCUCACUUGUUGUCUCUUCACAGGAGCCACCCAGAUUAUUUUCUGCUACAUUACCAGGUUCAAUAAUUGCAGAUAUGCACUUGUCCUUAUUACCACCCCACUCUUCACAGAAGUUGUUCCAGUCAUUUUCAGUAAUGAUUGUUAAGCCAUCUGUCGUAGAACCCUUUUGGAAAAGUAUUCCGCGUUUGGAAAUCAAGUCAGGAGGCCUUUCUAGGAGUCGUAAAUGCUGAAAAAAGAAAAGGCAGAAAGAAGGGAGAGAGCAAGAAUAACAUUAAAAUUUCCAUCUUUAUGAUUAAAAUAUGGCUACUAAUGAAAACACAACUAGCUAAAUAUGUCCCAAGUCAUUUGCCACAUUCUAAGUCCUUGUUGACUGUAAAAUAACUUUGCAAUGACAAGUCCUUGUCUUAGUCUAGCUGCUUUGUUCAUUUCAGUAUUUACAAAAACCUCAUUCCAUACGAUAGUGAAACCUAGCAAACAGUGAUUAAAAAGGUUACAGAAGGAAGAGCUCAAAAUCCACCUAAAGAGGGGGGAGGGGCAAAUCGGGGAGAGAGAAGGGAAUAAAAGGACGAAAGUCCAGUCAGAUACAAAAAGUGAUUUCAUGCAGGAAAAAAAUUCUAGGGAAAGUGCUAAAUAUACAAUAAAACAGAAUUUUCAGGCAAAGUUGCAAUUUACCUUUUCACAUUUUAAUGAUUCAAUGACAAAAUCCAGAGUUUCAGGUUCCACUGACGAAGAAAUAUUCUUGCCACUAGCAAUUACAUAGUUUCUCCAUUUUGUAAGCCAUGAAGAGGGCACCAAGUAGUACGUGCAGUGCAAAGAAAGAGGAAUACUUUUUCCCAUGGCCAAUUUCUCAUGAGUCUGGCGUUGUUUUAGUUUCACUGCUCUUAGAGAAUCCUCCAGGCAGGCAACUUCAGAAAGCUCAACGCAGCAUUGAGGACACUGCUCAGAACCCAAAGGAAAAGUUUUACAACCCAAGGGAUCAUCAGGUUUUACUGCAAUGGCAUCCUCAUAAAAGAACAGCCAGAGUUUCUCUGAAACCAGCACUCGCUUGGCACCAGGGGCUUGCUCAGGCAUAAGUUGCCCAUGUGUACACCUAAUUGAAACUGUUGGGCCCGCAUCAGCCUCACUUGGAGCAUCGAGGUUUUUUCUUCUCACCCACUGUUGCAACCAUGUCUUAGAUACAUAGUAUGUUCCAUCUAGACACUUCCCUGUAAGUACGUCACUUGCAAGGUCCCUCAUUAAUGUCCUCCGAUCCCUAUAGCUAUCAGCACAGACGACAGAUUGUGCACCAUCAAUAAGGCAAGCCAUGCAGUAGUCAUCAUUUGUCAGUGUUGGCCCUCCACCAUACUUAGAGAACAAUUUGGUCCAAGCUUCAGCAGACAACCGUUUCAUGGAGCCAACUUUUGACACAGGGACUUUUCCAUGCGAGCAUUGGAUAAGGGUAUUAUCCAAUAUAGGUGGAGUAAUGUUAUCAGCCCACUGGCGAAGCCAGUCAAUGGAAGCCCAAUAAAAUGGUUCUUCAAAUGACCGGACAGGAGCUUCAGAAAGAACUGAUCGCACUUCUUGUCUCCUUCCAGUGAUAUGAUUCAACUCGCUAUCCUUCUUCAAUUUGUACCGUUUGCAAGCUUCAAGAUAUGAUGCAUUCAAUUCAUUUAUAUCUUCAAAAAGGUGAGAUGGAAGAGAAGCGCCAUGUGACUAACCCUCACAACCUUCUAUUUCAAUUUUGCUAGCACCAAAAUCCACAGGUCUUCUCUCAUCUACUUUUGCAGUACGCCUAAGAUUAUACAUCAGCAUAUAUGCAUCAUUUGAUGAAAAUGUUUCUAUAUGGCUGCCAAAAUUAGAUUUCAAGGACUGUGGAUGAACAGCAUCCAUAUGAUUCCCAUUGGAAAGAGCAUGCUUUCCAUCUCUGCCACCUGGUGGCUCACUGUGAGCAACUUUAGAUGAACUUGAAGAGCAUUCUCCAAAAGGGUGAAGACCUAAGUUUGAGACAUGCUCAUCAUCAAAUUCCCACAUCAAAUUCCCACCACUGGCCAGUAUAUUCAUCCUUAAUAUGAGCAAUGUAGCGGCCGCUAUUAACAGCAGUUCCCUUGUGAAUCAACACAGCUGACAAGUCAUAUACCCAAUCCAACUGAGAAGGUUCAGACAAACUCUGCUGCAUACCCAAUACUCCAGGGAAACAAAAUGCUGAUGUGAUUUUCUUCUUUGUUGUAGUCUUUGGGAGGAAAACACAACGCUUGAGUUGAAAAUUAAGGACUUCAGGCAGAAUUCUUAAUUUGAUGCUGCGAAUAGCAUCAACUCUGACUUUACACAACUCACAGAAAUAUUGAUUCUCACCAUGAAGCUCUUCCACAUUAAGGUAAUCAUCCAAACUCUCAUCUAAGCUUUUCAACCCUUUUACAUUCAACUCCAGCUCAUAGAAGUCCUCCAUCUUUGAAGAUGCUUCAGAAUCUCUUCCACAUUUUGAGCACAUUGUUACAUGUGACACACUUCCACGGAAGAGAUCUUGAACAACAGUUCUUGCUUUGGAAACUUUAGAAUGGCUUAGACAACGCUCAAGCAAGGAAAGAAGUAAGGUCAAGAACUCAAGGCUAUCCUGCUGAACCCCAUUAUCUAACUCCAGCGUCUUUAUAAAUGGAGCUGAGUCAAUAAAAGCCAUUUUACUAGCAUGCAACUGUGCAAAAAGCCGAGCGAGCUGAUCCAAAACAGGAUGUUGCUUCAAUACUUCUGGCUCGACAGAGAAAACACCUUCUCGGAAAGAUGUAUUCAUGUAAAGAUAUUGAAGUAUGCUGUUGGCGUAGCAUGUUGCUCCCAGAUUUGUGAGCCCAGCAGGUGAAUCAGCAGAAGCACGAAGAUCUUUGCAUGGGUCUGGACCAAGGGCUUGAACAAUAUCUGACAAUUUCUGCCAUAAUCCAGAUUUCCGACUCCCAUUGGGUGGUGGAAUCAGCCCACAAAAGCAGUUGGGAUUACCUUUAGUGUUCACACGGCAGCCUUGACAAACUGGCUUCAGGAUCAUGUGCAAUUGAUUUACAUCAUUGGUGGUUAUUUCACCAGUUGCAUGAAUUUUCCUCAUUAUUUCAGAAGUAAUAUCAACAUUGUCCCUUGUCUGUGUCUUUUAUAUUUGCUGCGCGUAGUUGGUUGGCUCAUUGUAUCACAGACCUAUUCUGCAAUGAACAGGGAUCAUUUUACACUGAUCACAAAUGGAAUUUCACAUGACUUUUGCCUCUACAAAAACAUUUCUUCUCAAGCUUAAACUCAAAAUGUCAAUGAAGAUGGAACAUGCAUUGACUAAAACGUUCCCUUGUGGACACAAUGACCAAAGAAAUGCAACAAUAAAGACAAGAAAAUUGCAAGCUCUCUACUAGCAAGAAUUCUAUUUUACUCUACAAGCUUAGAAGUUAGCAUUCACAUUGGUCACUCCUAUCCACAAGCAUUUAGAUUUACAUAAAUUAACAACCAAUAACUUAAUUAUCUACAAGAAAGACAAUCUUCUGUUAGGCAAAACGUAACUUUCGUUUCUAUCUUACUCUACUAGCUCAAGAGUUAGAGAGAACUCUUUCAGAAAGAAUUGCAGUGUAUGCGAAAUUGUACAAACUGAUCUUCCAUUAACACGAACAAAAUCAAUUAAUGUGUUAUAAAAGAAAAAGCAAUUACACCGAGAAAAUUAAGACAGAAGACGAAACAAAAAGAUUUUUAUUUUAUAAAAAAACCUAGAAACAAGGAAUCAGAAUUAAAUUUCAACAGCAAUAACAACAGGUUCGAACAAAAAAUUAC
rnacentral:misc_RNA from 1 species